rnacentral:rRNA from 1 species
AAACCAGCACCUCAAGUGGUCAGGAUGAUUAUUGGGCCUAAAGCAUCCGUAGCCUGCCCUGUAAGUUUUCGGUUAAAUCUGUACGCUCAACGUACAGGCUGCCGGGAAUACUGCAGGGCUAGGGAGUGGGAGAGGUAGACGGUACUCGGGAGGAAGUGGUAAAAUGCUUUGAUCUCUCGAUGACCACCUGUGGCGAAGGCGGUCUACCAGAACACGUCCGACGGUGAGGGAUGAAAGCUGGGGGAGCAAACCGGAUUAGAAACCCCGGUAGUCC